CGGUCCCACCCCUUCCCAUCCCGAACAGGACCGUGAAACGACUCCACGCCGAUGAUAGUGCGGAUUGCCCGUGUGAAAGUAGGUAAUCGUCAGGCU
rnacentral:rRNA from 1 species